CCGUGCUAGGCGGGGAGGUAGCGGUGCCCUGUCACCCGCAAUCCGCUCUAGCGGGGCCGAACUCCCGCCCGAGGGGUGCGGUCCUGGGUCGGUCCCGAGGCUGGAAGGCGUAGAUGGCCGGGUCCCGCGCGGUGGGCGCCCGUGAACCAGGUCAGGUCCGGGAGGAAGCAGCCUUAAGCGGUAGCGUCCUCGCGCCGCGGGCAAGCCUGGCCGGAGCCGGAAGGUCGCGGGGAGGCGCGGGGCGGCCUCGGAGGCGGGUGCACGG
rnacentral:SRP_RNA from 1 species